rnacentral:rRNA from 1 species
UACGAAGGGUGCAAACGUUGCUCGGAAUUAUUGGGCGUAAAGCGCACGUAGGCGGCAUUGCAAGUCGGAUGUGAAAUCUUAUGGCUUAACCAUAAAAGUGCAUCCGAAACUGCAGUGCUUGAGUACUUAAGAGGAUCGCGGAAUUCCCGGUGUAGAGGUGAAAUGCGUAGAUAUCCGGAGGAACACCAGUGGCGAAAGCGGCCACCUGGACUGCACCUGACGCUGACACGCGAAAGCUAGGGGAGCGAACGGG